GUGCUCGCUUCAGCAGCAUAGGUACUAAAGGUGUAACAAUACAGAGAACAUUAGCAUGGCCCCUGUGCAAGGAUGACAGGAUGAAGCAUUCCGUAACAACAACAAAA
rnacentral:snRNA from 1 species